GCAAUUGUUGCCUAGUGGAUAAGGUGAUUGACUGGAGAUCAAAAGGACACUGGUUCGAUCCCCAGCUCCAAUGGUG